rnacentral:rRNA from 1 species
CCUACGGGAGGCAGCAGUGAGGAAUAUUGGUCAAUGGGCGCUAGCCUGAACCAGCCAAGUAGCGUGAAGGAUGACGGUUCUAUGGGUCGUAAACCUCUUUUAUAUGGGAAUAAAGUGUAGUACGUAUACUGUUUUGCAUGUACCUUAUGAAUAAGGAUCGGCUAACUCCGUGCCAGCAGCCGCGGUAAUACGGAGGAUCCGAGCGUUAUCCGGAUUUAUUGGGUUUAAAGGGAGCGUAGGUGGGUUGUUAAGUCAGUUGUGAAAGUUUGCGGCUCAACCGUAAAAUUGCAGUUGAUACUGGCAUCCUUGAGUACAGUAGAGGUAGGCGGAAUUCGUGGUGUAGCGGUGAAAUGCUUAGAUAUCACGAAGAACUCCGAUUGCGAAGGCAGCCUGCUAGACUGUGACUGACGCUGAUGCUCGAAAGUGCGGGUAUCAAACAGGAUUAGAUACCCGGGUAGUC